CAGAAAACAAAACCAGGAGGCACGUAAAUGUUUCUUCUCCAUGAUGUUUCUUCAAAUGUUUCUUCUGGAUGAUGAGAAGACUGUGACACGGGAUGCCACCUUUGGUCUUGUGAUAAAGCAAAGCUCAGGAAGAAGUGUGAUUAAAUGGUACCCACAUGUUGAGAAGGAUGUACAGGGGCACCUGCAGCCAAAUCCAAGCUUCAGAUGGUGACGGUGUGGAGAGACGGUGGUGUUUCCUCAGAAGAACCAGCAGAGUCACAAAGGACACCAGUCCAUCUCACCACCUUGACUUGCUGACUGAUGCUCGUCUGCACUGCACAGAGGAAAUCAACUGACUGAGAUGGGCAGUAUAUCAGUCUUGGACUGUCUAACCUGCCGGAGCAGCACUGAAUGACCACCACACAUGAGCAUGUUCCUGCAACAUUCAGCAUCUGAUCCUUCAUCUGUGUGCUGCUGCUUUUGGUAAGUAGAGUUACCCAACUACAGUAACUCUAAACACAUGCCAUCCAUUUCUAACGGCCUGGUUACUUCCUGUCAGUUACUUUAGAAACCAUGUGGUCACCUGACCUAACACUGUUUCUUCUUCUUCUCCUUAAUGUUGAAGUGUCAAAUGUCAAACAGCUGGAGAGGAAACUACACCAGUGUACUGGGAUGUUUCAGCAACACGUGCCAGAUGCUGUUCCUUCAUGGUGACAUCACCAGAGACAGUCCCGCCCACCUCAGGACCUCGCCAUUGAUCAUGAUGAUUAUAAUGAUGACAGCGAGCGGAACUAAGACUGUAAAAAUCCACGACCAGAAUGUUUAGAUGCUUUCUAAUUAUUAAUGAAUACUGAGUUUUUGUCUCUCCCUUUUUUUUUUUUUACCUCAUUUGUUACUAACAAAGUUCACCAAACUCACACAGUUUACAUUCCGUAUAUUUCCAUCAAGGUUUAUUUUCUUAGAAAUCAUCGUUUUUCUCCUUUUCUCUUUUGUAAUUGAUGAUAAUUCAGUGAAUAUACUGCGCUGCUUCCUUUUAUUGCGUCACACAUUGCUUUAAGUUUUUCAGAGUCCAGUUAUUUUUUUACUGCUGUUUGAAUUCUCUGUAUGUUUGACCCUGUAGACUGUUUGAUGGACUGCUUGUCUUCCUGUUUGUAACCGCCGCCUGUUUUUGACUAAAGAUUUGGAUUUCUGACUUUAACACAGCCUCUGCAUGUCCUCCCUUUGUGUCCUCUUCCUCUGUGAAUGUGUUGCAUGUGAGAUUCAUUUUAUUAACAGCUUUCCCACAGUGAGUUGCAUCAGCAUUCAUUCACAGCACAUUUCAGAAGGAUUCAGAUUAAUAGAGUGAUCUUAUAGUCAG
ensembl:lncRNA